rnacentral:misc_RNA from 1 species
GAUGAAGAACGCAGCGAAAUGCGAUAAGUAGUGUGAAUUGCAGAAUUCAGUGAAUCAUCGAAUCUUUGAACGCACAUUGCGCCCUUUGGUAUUCCUUAGGGCAUGCCUGUUCGAGCGUCAUUUAGACCUUCAAGCUAAGCUUGGUGUUGGGUGACUGUCCGCUUCACGGCGGACUCGCCUCAAAAUUAUUGGCGGCCGGUACAUUGGCUUCGAGCGCAGCAGAAACGCGAACUCGGGCCCGUCGUAUUGGCUCCCAGAAGCUAUCUUCACAAUUUUGACCUCGGAUCAGGUAGGGAUACCCGCUGAACUUAAGCAUAUCAAUAAGCGGAGGA